CGGGUUUUAACGACUCGCUUUUCCUUUUUUUUGUUUUAUUUUUUUUAUAGAAGGUUCAGUUGCGUGUUUUUAUCGGGGAAACAACAACAUAAAGUAAACUUAAUAUAAUAAUUAUUUAUCCUGUUGUGGAUGUCGAAUAAGCGCCCGUCCCCGUCCCCGUCCCUAUUCCCUUAUAUUUUGGAAGUAGGACAACAUGUACAGGCAAAUCUUUUUAGGCUUAUACUCGGAUAACACAUAUCAUGGGGCCACACAGGAUCCAUGAGCUUAAUACGUCUAGCUUAAUUUGUAUUACAAUUAUUUUCGUUGUAAUAUACUUCCGUCGUUUAAUAAUAACAAGCGUUUAAAAUUGAAUUCGGUUUAAAAAUGAGAUUACUUUCAGAAAAUGCGCAAUAGGCAAGGCAAACUGACAAAAUCAAAAUGUAAUUUUAACUGUGAUACACAAAAUCACCCGCCCUUAGAUGUUCGGGGCCGCACGCGCGCUACACUGACCGGAUCAGCGUGUGCUCUCCUUGGCCGACAGGUCCGGGAAACCCGUUGAACCCCGGUCGUGCUAGGGAUAGGGAAUUGCAAUUAUUUCCCUUGAACGAGGAAUUCCCAGUAAGCGCGAGUCAUUAGCUCGCGUUGAUUACGUCCCUGCCCUUUGUACACACCGCCCGUCGCUACUACCGAUUGAAUGGUUUAGUGAGGUCCUCCGAUUGGACCCGGUCCGGGCGGCGACGUCCGAGCCGGCGUCCGAGAAGACGAUCUAACUUGAUCAUUUAGAGGAAGUAAAAGUCGUAACAAGGUUUCCGUAGGUGAACCUGCGGAAGGAUCAUUA
rnacentral:ncRNA from 1 species